CUAAAAACAAAUUCCACCAACCUUUGUGGGGAAUUUCAGACAAAGGCUACAAAGAAGCAUUUCCACAAAUGAACUGUGUACUUUGUACCCCAACUGUAGGCUACCUUUAGAGCAGGACAGUGCCACAUGGCUUGUGUGCUGUUGAUCCACAUCCCACGCAAGUCUGUGUUGAUGCCAGUGACCUGAGGAGACCAGAGAAGCCCUGGGUCAUCUGGGCUCUGCCGGUGUAGACUGGGCUCGACCGGUAGCUGUGCUUCAGUUUGCAGCGGCCAGAGCAGCUCUGUUCCUCAUGUCUCCAUCCUCCUGGGACCAGCAGACUAGUCAGUGUCUGUUUUUCUUAUGCUGAUGGCAGAAGUUCAAGAGGGCAGGAACUCCCUGAAACAAAAAUAUUUCCACCAAUGGCAGAACACAGUACUCCUGUGCCUUCCUCUUGAAGCCUGAAAAGUGCUUUUUCUUCACAUUGGGAGGAGGAAGGGACCUUCCUGACAUUGGCCUAUAUUACUCAGGAUGUAGCUCAAGAUCCAGAAGAUGGGCCUCCUGGUUAUACGAAAUCAGGACAUGGUGUGAACACUGAUCAGCCAGGGACUGACACAAAGGGGUCCCCAAAGAAGGAAGAUUGGACAGAAACAAGAGGCAACUGAGAAGAGCCACAUUUUUAGUGAAAUUCCACUUUGAGAAACCCUCUGGAAGAAAUAGUUUUUUACAAAGAACUUGGACUUGUUCGGGUAUCCCCCAGGCUUCCACACACCCCAGGAGACACGGGAAGCUGACCCCCCACUCCACAGUUCCCAGGAGUGAGCCUGAUUUAAUAAGGAUCAUCUUGUUCCUGCAGAGGAGAGAACUAUCGAAUAUGAAAGAAGAAAAAAGGAAAGUGAAACAAAGAAAACCUUAAAAUAUAACAUGCUGAAAGUAUUGUGAAAUCGGUGAGGCACCUAAAGUGGGAAAGAUCAUGCUGGAAGAAAACACAAAACAUGUAUUACAAGUGACCUGCUUCAGAGGAUAACCAAAAGGUCCUCCCACGAUACUUGACAUAGUGGAUUCACAGUAGAUACGUAGAGAUUGACUGCUAUUAUGUUAAAAGGCUCUGACUAGUAUACCUACUGAAUAUGUAAUUUUUAAUUGCACAGAAAUGAGAAUGUACCAAAUUUCUAGAAGAGAACAGGAUUGCACGGCACCCUACGGGAUGGCCUGGCCUCGGCCUGAGGUUCACGGGAAUCUUCCAUUCUUUGCCUUUUCUGAGAGACUGGCUUACCAGAGCUGGAGUGUGAGCAGGGACUUAUAACGGCUGGAAGCUCAGCCUCCACAUCCAGCACCCAGGAGCUUCUCCACUCGGCCAGGAAAUUGCCCAGCUGGAUGGUGUCUGGGGAUUGCUCUCCUGGUCCUCAGAAAGGAAGGACAGUGACACCAGCAAGAGCUGGCAUCUCUACCUGGUCAAAUAGCCAAGUGGUUAUGAAGGAGACCCUCAGUAACUAUCAGUGGUGGGGGUGGGAGUGGGGGGGGGAGGGGAUUCUGCUCAGUCAGCAGGGUGACCUCAAAAUUGUGGGAACACAUCAUACCAGACACACUCAAUUGCUAUUUGUGUUAAAAUUACACCAACACAACGGGUUGUUGUUAAAACUGUAGUUGCUGUAUGUUUAGAUUUAUUGAAGUAAUAAAGAAUUCGCUCUGCCGUCUUACAACAUUUUACUGGCAAAUUCUGCUCAAACUGGUUUGGAUCUGAUUGUAAUCAUUGUGUAGGCUGAAAACUGGCUGGAAUGUAUUAAAACAGAGCUUUCCGAUCCUCUGGAAAUCAAUCCAGUCAGCAAAUGGCCAAGUGAGUCGCCUCGGGGUAAAUGUUAGACCUCAACGUGGCUUCCCUUCCAAAUGUACGUACAGCCUCAGUUCCAUAAUAAACUGUCGCUUGGGCUUCUCAGCUAGAUCUGGCCAAGUCACUUAGACAAUUCACUGCCUGAUAUAGACUCUAACUACCA